GCCUUUUAUAAGCCUUGUCUGUCAGUCAUUAACUGUGGGCUGAUCCCCAGUCUGUCCGUCAUUAAUGAACUGCAGGAACUUCGGGCUGAUCCUGGAAUGGGGUGGGGCAGGGGGAGCCAGUGAUCCAGUUCAGCCCAGAGUGCUUCUUCAGAGAGGGGGCAUCUGUGAGCCACUGACAACUGAUACUUUCAGACUCUGGGGAUGGGUUCUCUGCCUGCUGAGGGGAUCUGGGUUUGGGGUACUAGCAGCAUCCAAUACAGAAGGUCUUAUCACUCGUAUUUAAUAUUUCCCCAUUGUUGUAACAGACAUUUACUGGUUCCUGGGCUUAGCACUGGCGAUUCAUAAGAGAACAAGUCUGAUGUGUUCUCUGCUAUCAGGAAACCUAUAUUCUAGUGGUGGGGAAAAGCCAACAGGUUAUCACAACAGAUUAUUGAAACCCAGUGUAAACAAAGUGUGACAGUUGGGAAGGACAGGGGGCUGUGGGAGCACAGAUGAGUCCCCUGGUUCAGGCUUAGGGUAGUAGAGGUCAAGGAUGACUUCCCGGAGGAAGUAACGUAAAGCCCAGUCCUAUGGUAUGAGUAGGAAUUAUCCAGGUGAAGAGUUGGGAACGGCGUUCCAGACAAAGGGAACAGCAUGUGCAAAGGUCCAGAGACAAGAGAACCACAGUGCUUUCUGGAGACUGAUUGUCCUGAAAUACUAUUUUACUUCACAGACUUCCAUAUCUCUUCAGGACCUUGAGCACUGCCCUGUCUUUUUGCAGCUCCCAGGAGACCUUAUCUGUCAUUUUCCUGGUCAUCUUUGCUGAAGCUCCUGCUGUUUGUUCCAUAUUAAUUGUACACAAAGGAUCUCAUGAUCCUCUUAGGGCCAUCAUGGGCCAAGGGCUCAGAUUUUGUCCAUGGAAGGCUCUGCUAUGGGAGGAAGGUGACCUUUGUUUUAGUUCUAACUCUAUCAUUAGCUCCCUGUGUGUCCUUGGAGAAGUCACUGCCCUCUCUGGGCCUCCUUGAGAGGAGGAGAAUAGACAGAUAGGACCUGGCUCACUGUCACUCUUCCCUCAGUUACUUUUGUUGUAAUUCUUGGGGGUUGCAACAUGCACUGUUAGCUCGCACAUGCCUGAUGUGUAGCAUGUGUGCAAAAAGCAUUUGCUGUGUGAAUGAGCAACGUCCACAUGCGUGCUCCUUCUGUCCGUUUUUUGUCCUGCUCUUCUCUAGUGAUCUUGUCCUCAUUCCCCACAUGACUCCCCCCAUCGCAUCCCCCGUAACCAACUUCUCCCCGCCGGGUUUUCAUGUUAAGGCUCCCUCUCCUUUAUUACCACUGCUUCUCUUUCCAGGUCACCCACUGCCCCAAGUUUCAUCAUCUUCAGGCCUCCCAAAACCUUGAACCUAUUGGUUCAACCACCUUUUCACUCCCCUUUUCCAGCAUGUCUCCCCACCCUCCACCACAUCCCUUCCCCAUCAUCAUAUCUUCCUCACUCUCCACCACAUCCCUUCCCCAUCAUUAUGUCUCCCCCACCUUCUGUCACAUCCUCACAUCCCUUCUUCCUAGCUUAGAUUCCAGGCUCACAUUGUAAUCACUUCCUUUCAAACACUCACUCGCUUGCUUUCCUCUUCCACCUUCACACUUACCCAGAUAAAUCCCAACCUCCGUGAGAUCCAACUCUCCACCUGCACCCUCAAGCUGAACGAAGCUGGAAAAAUCCACACAAUUGUGCAGGCUAAUUGUGUUGAAUUCCUGACCACUGACCUCUGGGGGUCCCAAUGGUGCUAGUGGAUCCUACUUCACCUCCAGAGUCCUGAAUGACUCCCCCACAGUCCUGUGUGAUGACUUCACACCUUCUCUCUCCUUUGACCUUCAACACCACCUUCCCCAACUUAAAUCUCAGCUGAUGACCUUCCUUCUGGUCUGAGUGAGUAAGCAGAAGCAAUUGGAAGGAAGUCUAUGAAUUGCUUCUGCUU
rnacentral:lncRNA from 1 species